UAUAAAGUAAGCUAAAAUUAAUAAGCUAGUGGGCUCAUACCCCAAAUAUGAAUAUUACUCCUUUAUUA
rnacentral:tRNA from 1 species